ACUCCAGUGACGCAGUGGUUAGCGUAUCGUUCUUAUACUAGUAGUUAAUGACACUAAUAUGAUCUGACUUGAGUCAUGCGAAAGUCGUGGGUUCGACACCCACCUGGAGUA
rfam:Blumeria graminis f. sp. tritici 96224 unplaced genomic scaffold Scaffold-23, whole genome shotgun sequence.